rnacentral:rRNA from 1 species
AGUGAACGCUGGCGGUAGGCCUAACACAUGCAAGUCGAACGGCAGCACAGGAGAGCUUGCUCUCCGGGUGGCGAGUGGCGGACGGGUGAGGAGUACAUCGGAAUCUACUCUGUCGUGGGGGAUAACGUAGGGAAACUUACGCUAAUACCGCAUACGACCUACGGGUGAAAGCAGGGGACCUUCGGGCCUUGCGCGAUUGAAUGAGCCGAUGUCGGAUUAGCUAGUUGGCGGGGUAAAGGCCCACCAAGGCGACGAUCCGUAGCUGGUCUGAGAGGAUGAUCAGCCACACUGGAACUGAGACGCGGUCCAGACUCCUACGGGAGGCAGCAGUGGGGAAUAUUGGACAAUGGGCGCAAGCCUGAUCCAGCCAUACCGCGUGGGUGAAGAAGGCCUUCGGGUUGUAAAGCCCUUUUGUUGGGAAGGAAAUCCAGCUGGCUAAUACCCGGUUGGGAUGACGGUACCCAAAGAAUAAGCACCGGCUAACUUCGUGCCAGCAGCCGCAGUAA